rnacentral:rRNA from 1 species
UAGUCCACGCCGUAAACGAUGAAUGCUAGAUGUUGGGAGAUUUGACCCUUUCAGUAUCGCAGUUAACGCAUUAAGCAUUCCGCCUGGGGAGUACGGUCGCAAGAUUAAAACUCAAAGGAAUUGACGGGGACCCGCACAAGCGGUGGAGCAUGUGGUUUAAUUCGACGCAACGCGCAAAACCUUACCUGGGUUUAAACUGCAGUGGACCGGUACAGAGAUGUACCUUUCCUUCGGGACUGCUGUAGAGAUGCUGCAUGGUUGUCGUCAGCUCGUGCCGUGAGGUGUUGGGUUAAGUCCCGCAACGAGCGCAACCCCUAUCGUUAGUUGCCAGCAUUAAGUUGGGGACUCUAACGAGACUGCCUACGCAAGUAGUGAGGAAGGCGGGGAUGACGUCAAGUCCUCAUGGCCCUUACGGGCUGGGCUACACACGUGCUACAAUGGUGGUGACAGUGGGCAGCGAGAUCGCAAGGUCGAGCUAAUCUCCAAAAACCAUCUCAGUUCGGAUUGUCCU